ACCUAAUUUUUUUGGGGUGACUUUAUUGACCUUAGUUGGAACCAUCAUCAUAGGGUCAAACAGACGAAUCCAGGCACAGAGAAUUUCUUGACUCAUGUUCCAUGAUCGCCAAUACUGCCACAACAAAGCCAUGCGGCCCUAACUGGCCAGUGCAGUGCAGUGCAGUCUGAUUGUUGACUGGUGAGGGAGCUGCACACUGCAGCAUGAGGCAGGUUGACUUUGGCUCGUCAAAGAACCUACUGAACGCCCUUUCGCGCCCGCUCACUUCCGCAUCCACGCUCCUUCAAUUAUACUCUUGUCUGUUAGCAUAGAGAUUGAAUCUGUUUCUAAAUAAUGGAGAAAAAAACAGAAAGGCAGUCUUAUAUGCAAAUAAAAAAUAAGUCACACAGUUAUGUAGGAUGUACACCAGCCUUGGGCCGUAUGCUGCCUGGGAUAGGCUCCAGGUCCCUAACCAGAAUAAUGGAUGGAUGGAUGGAUGGAUGGGUGUUUGGUGUGUUUGUACGCCUAUGUGUUCUUCAUUGUUGUCCAAAUAAAACCACAAAAAAGCAAAAGCUCUAAUAUGUUUCCAUAAUACUAAUUUACUGCCAGUCACUGCACUCAGGAGCAGUGCAUCGCUAGGAUGAUCCAAGAAUGUUAACUAUAAAACACUGCUGACCAAGUGCAUGA